rnacentral:tRNA from 1 species
AGAUCUGUGCCCGAAUGUUCAGGGACCACUUUGAUAGAGUGACUCACGAGGGUUAAAAUCCCUCCAGCUCUU